CGCAAUCACGGCCGCACGCUCGCAUCAGGCUGCACACAACAAUGCCAGCCCUGAUUUCUCUGCUCUCCCUCAGAAUUCGACGAUUUAUCUGGAUGUUUGUGGCAAGACAGCUAUGAGGGCAUCGACAAAAGCUGUUGUUAUUCUUUUAGCAAAAUGUAGAGAGUUUUAUUUAAACUUUUCAUCCUACCUUUAGCAUUAUCGUUAUUUUGUGUAUUGCUGCUGUGGGUAAAACCACAUCCGAACAAAAAUAUGAGUUCAGUGCGUCGGUAAUAAAAAGGUAUUUAGUCUACGUCGAAAAUAACCUAGAUUCAUGCCUAACUUGGACGAAAUUCUGAAUAUGACUGAAAGUUAACAAAUCGUGGAUAGCCUAUAGUCAUGGGGGUACACUUUAAUUUGGGGUAUAUAAACUAAUAACGUUUAGAUUAAUCGUUUAACAUGAGAGCAGGUGAGCCAGUCUUCGUGUUUGUCUAGCGAGGGGCUGCGCGCAUUUCCCGCGGAAAGAACGAAGCGGAGUGUUGGAGAACAGUGGAGAACUGCGAAGUGAUCUGUGCUGGGGAUUACGCCUCCCAACACCGCAGACAAGCCAGAGGCGCCGAUAUGGGUUCCAGGCUAUGUGAUGGACGACCGGCGCACCUCAUCCUCCUCCUGCUCCUCGUCCUCCAGGCCAUGCUGCCGCUCUGCUCUGGUGAACGCACCUGCCCUCACAGCUGCCGUUGUGAGGGGAAGAUAGUCCACUGCGAGUCAGCUGGCUUCUUGGACGUCCCUGAGAACAUCUCAGUGGGCUGCCAGGGCCUCUCUCUUCGCUACAACGACCUGCACACGCUGCUCCCCUACCAGUUUGCCCACCUCAACCAGCUCCUCUGGCUCUACAUGGACCACAACCAGAUCUCUUCUCUAGACAGUCGGGUCUUCCAGGGGGUUCGCAGGCUUAAAGAGCUGAUCCUCAGCUCCAACAAGAUCUCUCAGCUCCACAACGCCACCUUCCACGGGGUGCCCAACCUCCGCAGCCUGGACCUGUCCUACAACAAGUUGCAGGUGCUUCAGCCGGGGCAGUUCCACGGCCUGAAGAAGCUGCAGAACCUGCACUUGCGCUCCAACGGCCUCACCAUAGUCCCCAUCCGGGCCUUCCUGGAAUGCCGCAGCCUGGAGUUUCUGGACCUGGGCUACAACCGACUCCGGGCCCUCACCAGGACCACCUUCCUGGGGUUACAGAGGCUCAUGGAGCUGCACCUGGAGCACAACCAGUUCUCCCGGAUCAACUUCUUUCUGUUUCCACGUCUUGCUAACUUGCGGGCGCUCUACCUGCAGUGGAACCGCAUCCGAGCAGUCAAUCAGGGCCUUCCCUGGACUUGGCACACACUGCAGAAACUGGAUCUGUCUGGCAAUGAGAUCCAGACCCUGGACCCUGCCGUGUUCCACUGCCUGCCUAACCUCCAGACCCUCAACCUGGAGUCCAACAAGCUGUCCAACGUGUCCCAGGAAGCAGUGUCUGCAUGGAUCUCCCUGAACUCUAUCAACCUUGCAGGUAACGUGUGGGACUGUGGGACAGGCAUCUGCCCCCUGGUGGCCUGGCUGAGGAACUUUCGUGGCACUAAAGACACGACCAUGAUAUGCAGCAGCCCAAAGCAGCUCCAGGGAGAGAAGAUCAUGGAGGCUACGAGGAACAAUGGAAUUUGUGAGGAAACUGAUUACUUCCAGACAGAAACCCCUUCACCAACCCCGGAUUUCAUUGAAACGACACCUGACCCAACCCCUGCCCCCACCAGCCCACUUCCACCCCUGCUUCCACCUACCACCCUGGCCCCGCUACCCCCACCUCGGCCUCAGUCCCCCCCCCGGCCUACUUUUCCCAGCCGGGUAAGGAUUGACCCCAGAGACUCCCCUCCCCGGGCUCCGCCCUCCCUCCGCAGCCUGGUGGUGACUCAGCCUCCAGAGCUGGAGCACAUGUCCUUCCACAAGGUGGUGGUGGGCAGCGUAGCACUCUUCUUUACCAUGUCACUCAUCCUGACCGUCAUCUACGUGUUAUGGAGGCGCUACCCGAAUGCGGCACGGCUCCUGCAGCAGCGCUCCGUGGUGGGCCGCAAGCGGCGGAGAAAGAGCCCGGAGCCUGAGCAGAACCUGAGCUCCCAGCUGCAGGAGUAUUACAUGAGCUACAAUCCAGCCGCCACCCCGGAUGGCUUGGAGGUACUGGGCAACGGGACUGGCUCCUGCACCUGCACCAUCUCCGGCUCCAGGGAAUGCGAGGUAUGACCCAUCGCAUCAGCCUUUAAAAACAAAACCCAAAAAGCAAAAACACAAAGGCUCAAGAGAGAGAGAGUGAAUACAUAUGUCCCCGUCCACUACCUGGAGCUUGGCUUGGAGACGUACCCGCCAUUCACUAGGAGACAUGUACAUUUUACCAGCCAGUUGCUAACAAGCAGAGGAAUCAGGGCCUACAACACUAUGGCUACCCCAUCACUGUCUGUCCUGACAGUAUGGUGGCACUCUCUAAACAUCUGCUACAGACAUAUGUCAAACUAUACCUCAACAGGCCCAUGGACAACGUCAUUUGGAAACAAGAAUGGCUUUCAUGAUUUCUACCACUCUGAAUAUUUAUGUUUUCUUUUACAAGGUCUAUACACUCUUCCUGUAUCUUAGUUUCUCAGCUGCCCUACAGCCGUGUUCAUCCAACAAUGACUAAGGUUGCUGUUAAAGCAUUGGCCAUGUUAACUCUUUGAUUGGCCAAUUAGGCUGGUCCAGAUUGAGGGGGUUUGGAACACUUGACGUCUGCAGCACCUCUCUGACCGUUGGCAUGGAAACUUGGGACUCUGAUGGGCAGUCUGUGCCACGAUGGGCGAUGUCACUCUGCUGGAGGCUGGCGGAGUGAAAAUGGGCCGUGGAGAAUAUGGACCAACCACAGCCCAGCAACGAUUUGAUGAUGUGCACUGAACAAGUAGCUCUGACUGCCUAGCAAAAUUCUAAUGUGCAAACUGCUGUGUGUAAUUUAAAAUACAUGUCCAUGGUUUUUCUUUGCUGUUGAACAACCCAUUAUUUGCAGCUGUGGUUUCGAAAAAGAUUCAUAUUUUCUAUUCUGCCAAGAUGGCUUUAAAACAAUCUACGCUCUCGGCUCAGAAGUGUUCAUGUGGAUUUUGUUUGCUUUAUAAGUUUACAGCGUGUACCUGUCUGUUGAGUAAUAUUUGAGUAAAGCUCUCAUUGUUCAUUUAGUCCCCUGGGGAGAGCUGCAUUCAAUAGCUGGAGGUACUUUUCUGAGAAGUCUGAGGAUCUAGCCAGGAGAACAGCUGAUCUUCCUGCCAAUCACACCUGGUGGUGGAGGAACUCAAUCUAUUCCCAGUCACACAGACAACUGUAAUUACACAUCUUGGCUCAGGACAGGAAGAAAAAAAAAAUUAAACUGAGACUCAAACUUCUCAACUGUAUAUGAUUAUUUACAGUAUUAUUUGUUGCUACCAUCUCUCUCUGACACCAAAGGCCUUUAGUGGUGGGUGUUUUGGAUCUCUCUGUCUCGUGGGCACUGGGGAGAACUCCAGCUUUGGUGGUUCUGUCUCAUUAAAAGGACCAGAGGAUUUCACAGCAGAACCAUUUCAAAGAGUUGGCUCGGGGAUAUUCUCACUGAUAUGAGACUAGUGCCAUAGGGUGAGAGCACUAUAGAGAUGGAUGUUCUGUAUCAGCCAUUUUAUCUGUGUGCGUGUAUGUUGAAUGAUGAUGAACGUUCCAGAGAGGUUUCCUUCAAUUUCUCUGGAAUCUUUGAAGAUGGAUGAAGCCUCAACGUUCUUAUAGUACUACCAUGCUCUUCUGCCAAAUCAACAUGCAUGUCUGUGUGGGUGGGUGUAUGUGUGUGUGUCUAGCGUGUCUGACUUCAUUCAUGAGUGUGCUUGCAAUGCUUGACAGUGGUUUUGAACCAGAGAUUAUGUAUGUGUGUCACAAAUACGGUUCAUGCCACUGCUAACAAAUUAUAUGAGUAACGCUGAAUACAUGCUGUGUCUACAUCAAAAUCUCCUUAAAAGGAUAUGUCAAAUCCCCUUGAAACGGAUGUCUGGAAUUUGUGUGUGUGUGGGUGAGUAGGUGGGGGUGUGUGUGUGUGUGUGUGUGUGUGUGUGUGUGUGUGUGUGUGUGUGUGUGUGUGUGUGUGUGUGUGUGUGUGUGUGUGUGUGUGUGUGUGUGUGUGUGUGUGUGUGUGUGUGUGUGUGUGUGUGUGUGUGUGUGUGUGUGUGUGUCUGUGUGUGUGUGUGUGUGUGGGUGAGUGAGUAGGUUGUGUGGACAAGUGGGGACAUUUUGCAGGUCCCCAAAAGGAAAAAUGCUAUUUUAGGCUUAGGGGUUAGGUUUAGGGUUAAAAUUAAUGUUAGGAUUAGGGUUAGAAUUAGGUGUUAGGAUUAGCAGUUAGGUUUAGGUUUUAGGUUUAGAGGUUAAGGUUAGGUUUAGGGUUAAAGGUUAGGGAAAAUAGGAUUUUGAAUGGGAAUACAGUUUUCGUGUGUGUGUGCGUGCGUGUGCGUGUGUGUGUGUGUGUGGAGAGAGGAUUGGGGACUCAUAUUCACUGCUUUCUUCAUUAGUGUUCAAAUGGGGUUGAGCUCGGAGGCAUUUGGCAUAUAUCAAAACAGUAUCAAUGGAUUUCUACAAUAAAAAGAGAACUAUUUUGUACUGUAUAUUUCUGCUUUCUCCCCAUUAAGGUAUUGAACAUUUUAUAAUUAACUGUAUUAUUUGUUCACUGAAAAAUGUUCUGUUUUAUAAUGUAAAUAAUAACUGAAUCAAUGGUGAGCAAUAAGAAUUGGUCAAAUAGAAAUGGUCAUUGUUCCUUUUUUUCUAGCAUACUUUAAUGGAAACCAUAUACAUUUGUUACAAAGCUGUUCUCAAGCAUAUGGAUUUUCAGGGUGUACACCAUUUAAUAAAAUCUAAGAAAACGUGAG